rnacentral:rRNA from 1 species
AUGGGCACGGUGGUCAUGAGGAAAGUGGUUGAGGACGAUGAGAUGGAAGUUGUAGCCUACCCGCUGCCCAGGACAAGGACGGCUGCCCUGACGCUCCCCCUUCUUCACAAUCUCGCGCUGGGAGAGGAGGGGGUGGCCAUUGUUUUCUUCGGUACUCCUCGGCCUUAUCCACAUUCCACAGGUGACCUCGCCAGACCACUUGUUGUGAAGGGGGAGGUGAUAGCUGAAGUCGAGGGUGUUGUUGAUGACAUAAAAGGUGUUGAUAAAAUAGAGCCUUGUGAAGAACAGAGGAUACAAUACAGAAAGGUCAGUCGAAACUACUUCUGUAGUACAAAAUAA